GCUUCCAGUCUGAGAGCUAACUAGUUAGCCACUAGCCAAACGGUAAGGCGAGCUAGCAGUUUGACAACCAAAUACCAGAUGAUUAAUAAUAGCUGUAGUAUAAUUGUACAAGCAGUAGCAGUAAUACUAAAAGUACAAGCAGCAGUAGUAGUAUAAACAGCUGUUAGAGUCGUAGAAGUAGUAUCAGCAUUUGUAAUAGUAUUACAAGUUGUAGUAGCAGUGUCAGCAGCAGUAGUUAGUGUACUACCACUACUACUAGUAGUAGUCACAUUGCUAUUACUACCACCAAUACUACCAAUAGUAGUUAUAAAGCCUAACUCAUGUAUAUCCAGAUUACCAUCUAUGUUCUUCCUCCAAACCCAUUUUAUGAUUGGGAUUACAGGCAGUUCUUUAGGACUGCUAUCAAAUAAUUGAAAUGUUACUAAACAAGGUUAUACUUAUCAAAUUAAAUAGCUCUGGUCUCCAGCAUAUUGGCGAAUUUGGUUCUUUGUACUUAAUUUAUUAGCAUGAUUUCUUUUUAAUAUGUUGUGUACAGACUUAAUUACUUCUCUGUCUACUUUUCUUACUCCAUGUAGGUUUCCCAGAGACUAUGGGUUGAGGAGGAAUUGGAAGUUUGUCGGCUUAGACCUGGUGUCAUUCCAUCAGUGUUAAACUUCCCGGCUCAUCUUGGAAGAGUACGUGCCAGAAAGACCACGACCAAGCAGCCUUGAGAUCUUAGGCAGCGUCUCCCUGAGGUCCCUCUCUAUCUCCCCACACAUCCACCAACCACUGGAACACAUCUCCAAAGUUCUGCAGGGCCAGCUCAGCUUUCCCUCAGAAGAAGUGCCGCCACCUGCCAGAUGAAGGAGCCUUUUGAGAGGCAGCUGGCAUCGUGAUUGGACUGUACUUUGGUCUGUUCCAAUCCAGCUUCAGCUCCAGAGACGGCAGGCGGGACGAGUCAACGGAGGCCGGAUGGACGAAGGCAUGCAGCUGAGUACAAUCCAGAAAACAACAGAGGAGGAGUGCAGUGGCCCAGAGCCAGAACAAACACAGUAGCAUCGUAUGUCUCUUAGAAAACAUCAUAGUAUAGCCUUUGGUAUGAAAAAACGCCAUCAUAUACAUCGUAUAUUGUACAUAUAACAAGUCAAAGGAAAGAGACAUACAUUGUAGAAUUGUAGUAAUUCUGGGCUGACUGAUUUAUUGAUUAUCAGUAUUUUAUUUUUUACUGAUUUACGGUAAUAAAUCAAUUUAAAAAUGGCGCUA